GUACUUUUAAAUUUAUAGAACUUCAAAAUUUCUUGAUUGGUAAAUUUUAAUUAUUUUUCUUAUAAUUAUAGUUAUAUUACUUUUAAUUUUCACCUGUGAUUUUUUUUUUUUUUUGCUUUUGUCUGCCACGAGUGUUUGUUUUCUCGAGACUUUUGCUUUUGCUUUCUUCUUUCGCCUUUUGCUUUCGGCUUGUCUUCUAGCAACUUUUUUACUUUUAGCUUGUCUUCUUUUCUUUUCUGGUUUCUAUCUUGCUUUUUCUUUUUAUUUUUGUCUUUUGUAGAUUUUUGUAUCCACUUUUUUCCUAUGAGUCACCAGCUGGAAUUCUUUGUAAUCCACUCCAUAAAUAUCUUCCUCUAAAUCUGUAUCUUAGCAACGUCUGAAUGAUCAUAGAUAUAUUCUUUGGCUGAAAGCAUAUGUGGAUUUUUAUUUUAGAUUGAGAAAAUCAAUUACAAGGAUGCAUUUCACUGUUUCUGGAACCUCUUAAUGUGUUGAAGAGAUUGUUUGACUUGUUCUGUAUCCAAUAAAAUAUAAAAAUCAAUUGUUUGACUUGUUCUGGAACCUCUUAAUUUUUUUCUUUUGAAAAAACGUUUUAGUUGAUUGUUUGCACUUACGUUUUGGUGUAAGCUUGAAAGAUUGUUUGAUUAUGUUAUUUAUAAAGAAGGCUUGUGGGUAAGGUAAUGUAUAUUUUUUAUUUUCAACGUAAAACGAAAAAGAAAAAGAAAAUGCUCAUGUGGCUAUAAUUUUGUAUGAGAAACUUAUAUCUCCUUUUUUAGGUAUGUGAAUUUUUCUUUGACCCAAGAAAUUGAUCAUUUUAACUUUAGUUUUCCAUAAGGUAAUGGUUUGAUGCUUAAAUUUUUUUUUAAAUCUUAAAGAAGUAGGUAUUUUACUUGAUUUGAAAUUAGAGGAAAGUACUAUUCUUGCUGUUACAUGUUCAAGGAUUAAGUUUCAUGUUAUUAAAUGAAUUGUAUAAUUAUAAUUGUCCAAUCCAAAGACUGAGAAUUGUUGUGACUGCAAAUGAGGUGUAAUGUUUUAGAAGCAAAGCAUUAGAGACAUGUAAUUAAUUACAUGUUUAUUUUGCUCCAUUGGAUAUACUUACUAUUCUAUAUAUCGGCUUGAGAAAAUAUCAUUGAGAAAUUAAUUGAAGUGUAAUAGCUUCUACCUAUUCAACUCUUCUAAUGCUAUUCAUAAAUGGUUGAAGAACUUGUGAGGGGGAUUACUUGAACUUCCACAAAGCAAGACUAGGUUUGUUGUUUAAAAGUGAUAAGUGCUCUUUGGAUGAGGUAGGGAUUGGAGUAUUUUCUCUUAAAUUAAUCGCUCACAUUAUAACACAACAUAAAGUUUGGAUAAUGAUCAAAGUUAUGUUACUGAGGCAUAUGAUUGCAUUUUUUAAAUUUAGAGGACUGAAUCUCUAAGGGGAGGGGGAGAUAGUAACGACUAAAAUUAAUGAAAUAUUAUUUUGAAUAUAAUUUUAUUAAUUUUGUGAUGAGAUAUAUCAAAAAGGAUUGUUGACUUAGUGGAAAUUAUGUUGACAACUCAUCUACCAAGUCCUAAGUUUGAAUCAUAGAAGUGUCGCAAGGAGUUUUAUUAUUUUUUCAACCUUUAGAAAUCACCACUCUGUCCUCAACAGCAUUAAGAUAAUUUUUCCUUUUCUUCCUUAAUCCAAUUCAAUGCUCCACAAUAGUUUAGAAGGAGAGAGAACUUCAACUAAAUAAAAAACACCCAACCCUUUGCGUUGUCCUCCCCUUCAUCCUCCAUAUAUCCUCAGUAUCACCUGGCAAGGGUAACUCUGUUUGCCACUACUCUUCUUCCCCCCCCUUUGUGAUUUGGAUUUGCUAAGCUCUUCGUUUCCUUUCUGCUCCUCUACUCUCUAAUUGUUUUUGCAAGUCGAAGACCUUCUCCUUCUUUCUUCAUUGGCAUCGUCCAUGGGUUGGUGUGAACACUAGUACAAAAAUGACUUUUUGUAGCAAUUAAAAAUAACUUUUUACAGCAGUUAAAGAAACAAUAUUGUUCCAGGGGGUGUAGAAAGUCCAUCUUUCUACAUCGGUUAUAAACCCGAUGUAAAAACAAAAAUUUUUACAUCGGUUAUAAAGCCGAUGUUGAAAAUUAUAUACAAGAAAAUAAAAAAAAUUUAUAUGAGGGCAAAGAAACCCAAACUUAUCACUUUUGCCCGAUAUAAUGCACAAGUGAUGAAGGUACCUACAACAAUGCAAUUAUAUCAGUUUACUAAACUUGAUGAUUAAAUUUACUUACAAUAAUACAAUUAUAUUAAAGAAAAAUAUGCUUUACAUUAUAAAUAGUUCAAUGUGUGAUGUGGUAAGCUGAUUAUUUGACAAAAGUCAAACCAAAUCUUCCCAUUCAAUGGUAACUUUUUUACACCGAAUGCAUGGCCACCUAGUGUAAAAAACCCACUUUUUACACCAAGUAGACUCACCCGGUGUAAAAAUGUUACUUUUUACACCGAGUAAGUCUACCUGAUGUAAAAAGUUAGUUUUUUACACCAAGUGGAGGUCUACCCGAUGUAAAAAGUGUCAAAUACUUCAACAGAAUUACAAAAAUACCACCGCCUUUAUUUUUUACAUUGUUUGCCUUCCAACUGUUGUAAAAAGUACCCCAUAAACUUCAUAUUUUGGACUAGUGAAAGCUCGUCUUUCAUCUUCACUGAGUUCUUCUCUUCUUCCUUCGAUGUCACUAUUGUUUGGUAUGAAAGACUUGCUCUAUUCUUCUCUUCUUGGAUUAUGAUUGUUGGCUGCUGAGAUGGGGGAGAAAAUUUGAGGUUUAUCUAAGUUAUAGUCUUGGAAUAGGAUUUUUGUUUGAGUAUGUAUUUUCUAAACUUUCAUUCAAUCUAUGAGAAGCUUGAUAGAUUUAUUUUUUUUUUCAAUUUGUCAAUUGAAUGUUUGGUUGAAGGAGUGAAAAUGUGGAAGAUGAUUAAUUCAAAUAAGAAUAUAAGAAAUUUUUGGAAAAUUGUUGGAAUGAGAUUUAAAGAGAAGCUUAUAAUUAAAUUUAAAGGUUAAUGCCUACAAGAUGUUCGAUAAAAUUCCUGUUAGAAGAAGUUUUAUUUGAUUAUGUAUUUUCCAAGUGGCUUGAUUGAUAUUUAUAUGUGAAAUUAGUUAAUUUAUUGAGAGUUGUACAUUUGUGAAUAUAUAAACUGUGGUACUAUUUUAUGACUUAAUUUUAGGAUGCACAUAAGCUAUUCAAUAAAAUGGAUAACGGAAGAAUUAUGGAUUAAUAGAGUGAUUAAGGGUGGUGUGAACACAUACUCUUGAUUAAAUAAUUAGCUAUGGCUGAAGUAUUUAUGGAAAAACAUUGUGAUAUAAAUGAUGGUGUUUUGGAAAACUUUAAAGUAUCUAAGCUGACUAUGAUUGUGUUAAUGUUAGAAGGGAUUUUAUAGAGUGUUGGGAAGAAGAAAAAUUUAAUAGGAGUUGAAAGAAGUACAUAUUUGGAUUUGGGAACUCUACAGGUAAGUAAAUAGCAUCCCAAUUGUUUUAUAAGCUAAUUAGAUUUUAUUACAUAUUGUUAAACUUUCACUAGCAUAUUAAUAUAACUUCAUUUUUGUUUUUUACUAUUUUAAAAUGAAAUACUUUCAUUUUAUUAAACUUUGCAAAGGAAAGAUAAAAUUGCUUUAUGAUUAGGUAUUCUUAAUUAUUUGACAUCAUCGAUAAUUUUGAUUCAUAAGUUGAGAAAUGAUUUAUUAAUAUGAUUCAUGCGUGGAAGAAUAGAGAUGAAUUGUUUGUGAUGAUUAUGAUGUGAAGAGAUAAAAAUAUUAAUUUUUAGAUGCAUGCAUGCAUGGUUUUUAUUGAGGGACUAAUUUCAAAAUGUUGGUUGCUAACAAUAGUUUCAUUAGCCCUUGACAUGCUAUGGUUAAGCCACAGUAGCUCAGUAUUCAUGAGCAAUAUACCCAUGCUUGUUAUUCAUGAGCUUUGUGCCUGCACUUGUUUCGUGACUUUAAGAUGUUCUUGUUAGUUACUUACCUUUAUGGAUUGUGUGUCUAUGAUUUUUGGUUUUUUAUCUUCAUGAACUUUGUGUUCAUAGUUGUUAAUCAUUUUGAUCAAGUUCCAUUAAAAAAUUAAUGAAUUUGAAGCUUAUCACUUAUUCAAGAUGAUAUUUGUUGAGCUAUAUUUCUAUAUGUAUGGAUUUUGAAAUGAGUCGCAUAUUUAUUAAUUGUUUAAAACACAUAUUGUAGCAUGUAAGUGAAAUUCUAAUGCUAUGUCAUCAUUAUUUCGAUUCAUUCCUCUAUGAUUUACAUAUUUACAUAGAAUCUUAUGGCCUAUGAGGUAUGGGUUUCUAAUUUAUUUUCAAGUGGAUAUUUCUAUUAAAUUCCUAAUUACAUCAUUAAUACAGAUGUUAGAUCAUGCAUUUUGAUGAUUAUAAAAUCAAGAGAAGAGGUAUUUGUUAUGUCUAUAGAUAUUAAGAAUCAUGGAUGAAGACAAAACUCAAGAGUAUGAAGAAUCAAGAGAAGAUUUAGGUUAAGUAAUUUAAAUUCUCUUAGAUUCAAUGCAAAAAUUUAGAAAGCUUAAUCACUUUUCUUAAACACAAAAUGUCUUGUGUAUGGUUUCUCAUGAAAAAGAUUUGUAUGGUGAGACUCAGAAUCACAUGUAAUUCUACAAGUCACUCAUAAGUUUUUGCAUGUUAGGCACACUGACAGCUAUAUCACGUGAGUGUGAAGAAGUGCUUCACACGUGAUUAAACACUUGUGUUGUAUGUUGCCUUAAGCUUUGUCUCUGUAUGCAAAAUCAAGCACGAAAGGCUUUAUUGUCCAUGCAUCUGUGCUUCAUUAUAUUGUGACAAAGUGCAAAAUCACAUGUGAAACUGAUGGUAGCCACAUGUGAUUUGUCACUUGUUGCACAAUCACACUUUGCUUUAUUGAGUUUUAAAUCUUCUCAAGUCAAGCUAAAAUUGUUCACAUGUAUGAUCAUUAAUUCACUAAUCUAUAUCUCUUAGUCAUGCAAAUCUUGCUUGAGUUUUGCAUUGUUUCAUAUAUGAAUAUGCAUCAGGCAAGUUUAUGCAUUACUGCUUGCAAUUUCACUUGUGAUAUCAUUCUGAUUCCACGUGAGUUUUGAUCACAUAAAAUGGCUUUGGCAUUCUACUAGCCAUUUCACACAUAAGAGAGUAGAGGUUCCAAGUGUGAUUUGUCACACAGAACUAAUGAUAGUUUAUUAUAUGUAAAACCACGAGUGAGAGUAAAUAGUGUACUCGCAAGUUUUAUCAUUCUGAUAUGCUAGUAUAUUCUUAAGUGCUAAAUCGCACAAGAGAGCAAUAUGGUACCACGUGAGUUUUAGCACCCAGAACUGAAUGUAUAUUCUUCAGUAUUAGACUACACGAGAGAGCAAUGAGAUACCACGCAUGUUUAGGCACACAGAACUAAAUGAUUAUUCAGAAGUGUAAAACCACAUGUGAGAAGACAAGGUGUUCAUGCAUGAUCCAUCACAUUCAGUUCUAUGAAACUUCUUCAGUGAAAAAUCAUGUAUGAUUAUAACAGUCACUCACAAGAAAAUGCCCUAACAGAAAGAAUCAUUAUUUCAACGGUCUAUCAACUUUCAAAAAUUAUAUAAGUAAUUCAUUUUGAAUUAGAAGAACUAAUAAUCUUUAAGUAAACAUAUUAUCAUUUAUGCAUUUAAAGAGCUUUCAAAUUGUGCUUUUAAUUAUUGCAUUCACUCAUUAUUCUGGAAAAGAAUUAUGAAAAGCUCUCAAAGGUUUAUAAGCUUUUAUUUGUAUUCUUGUCUACUCUUUAAAAGAGUCUUUUGUAAAAAGUUUAUACUAUUUUUUCAAAAAUCUUGAAAAGGGACUUUUUAAGAGUUUGCAACAACUUGCUGGAUUGUAACAGUGUUUGUUAAGUGAAUCAAGAUAAGAUUGGUCUUUAGAAUUAUGCUGUGGUGGCAAGCACCCAUUAAAACUUGUGAUUUUAGUUGAAAAUCUCAAGUGUGAUCUUAAGGACUAGACGUAGGCAAAGUUUGUGGUUGAACUAAUAUAAAUCUCGAGUGUGUUAUCUUCUUCCUUCACUCUUUAGCUCCUCACUCUUCCCAAAUUUUCAACAGUUUUUAAGUAUCACCCAAUUCACCUUCCUCUUGGGUAGCAGCCUAUCCUAACACAUUCUCUUUAUUUUGUUUAAUUUUAAAUUGGGAUGUUAUCCAUUGAAAAAUAUUUUGGACUUAGAUAAUAACUAGACUUGUAUCUCUUGUUAAUUAUUGAGGACUUUAUCGUUGAUAUGAAGUAGCAGAAUUUCUUUAUACAAAUUUCAAUGUGAUCUAAACGUGAACUUAUGUAUUAUUAUUAUUAUUUUUUUAUACAGUCUACUUCAUGUCCUAUUCACUAACAAUAGAUAGGAUUUUGACUUUUUAUAUACAUUGAUUGUUUUGUUGAGGAGUAGAGGUCCUGUUGAUGAGUUAUUAUAAAUUUGUUGUUAUAAAAAUUUAUUGUUUUAGUGUAUGAUUCUUUUUACCUAUGUGAAAAGCAUGAUAAGAAUUUAUAAUCCUAUUAUUAAAGAGUUGAAAAUAUCAAACUAGAAGUUUCUUGAAUUAAGGCUUAAGGGAUAUGUAUUUAGUACACAUAUCCCAUGCCAGUCAUGUUUUAUUUUGGGGCAUGACAUUUAAAUACCCUUUUUGGCUUACCUUAAUAUUUUGGAUUUAUAAACAUCUAUUUUUGGUGGAAUCUCAUUUUUGGUACAUAUUAUUAGUUAGAAAACUUCUACUUACCAUGGUAAGUCUCAUUUAUCUUGUUAACUUCUUUCUAUAGUGGUAGACUACUCCUUUCUACGAUAGUAAAUCUUUGUAAAAUUGGUUUGACUCCUUUUUAUCAUGAUAGACUAUUUUAAUUUCUACCAUUAUAGUGAUUUAAAAGUGAAUGGUUUUAUCCUUUUUUAUCAUGAUAGUUUCUUUUCUACCAUGACAGUGUUUAUAAAAGUAUAAUUUUGUUCUUAAUUACUCACUAGUGAAAAAUAAGAUAUCUAAACCCUAUUAUCUACACUAGUUAUAAUGCCUACGGUGUAGAAAUUAGAGGUGGUGACAUUUUUAUAAAUAAAAAUUUGUUUGAUUCAAUAUCUAUUCUAGUUCUUAUAUGCAACUGAUGUAGAUAUCAACAUUUACAUUGGGUUUAUUUCUACCCGGCAUAGAUGUUCAUUUUAUUUUUUUUAAAAAAAUUCUUUUUAACAUAUUUACACCAGUUAUGUAGGGUAACCAGUUUAGAUGUGAUUUUUGUAAAAAAAAUUGUUUUUGACGUAACUACACUAGUUAAUUAUGGUAGCUAGUGUAGAUAUGCUUUUAUAUUUUUUUUUAAAUCAAUUUAUUCCAUAUCUAAACCGGUUAUUUCUUAUAACCAGUGUAGAUAUUGUUUUAAAUUUCAAUACUAUCUACCCUUGUUUCCUCAGUCCACCUUUUCUCGCUCUCAUCUUGUCUCAAUCCACCUCUUCUCGCCAAAUCAAAAAUUCCUCUAUCUGCCUAUUCUCUUCCCCAUCAUCUCUAUCUGCCUCUGUUUACCUCUAUCUCUCUUAGUCUCACUGUGCUUCAUUCUUUACAGUUUGCCUCAUCACCAUUAUCUCCUUCUCACGGUGCCCUCUCUGUUCAUCAUGUGCUCAUCCAUUGAAAUGCAUUCAAGUUUAUCAGGUGCUCACCUAUUCGUCUGUUGCUGGUGUUGUGAGUGGUCAGAAUCUUCAUCCUCAUUCCUCCUCUAUCCAUGUGUCACUGUAACUACUAUCGUGGAGAGAAGAGGAAGAAAAAUCGAGAACCCUCAGUUGCUGCUCUUCUCCAGUUCUAGCAUGUUCACCGACAUCCUUUGUCAUUCCUCCUCCCUAGUUAGCUCUCCAUCGACAAGAGCGAGAGCUUCAUCUAUGCUGCUGUGUGGUUGCUCCAAAUCUUCCUCCUCUUUCGUUUCUCUGCCUGCCUCCCUUAUUGUAGACGGUAUGUUGCCAGUGGAUGCGUGAGGAACUAAAUCCACUGGAGUUGGAGGGUUGUUUUGUGAGCUAUUCUUCUUUCCUCUUUAGUGUCACUGACUUCAUUUACCUUCAUUUUUGUGUGGCUAAAUCUUUUCUCUUUCCUAUUAUGUUCCGACUAAUCUAGAGUUAGGGGGCUUUGAAUUCUUUUCUUCAUUCCUCUGCUACCAUUAUAGUGAGUAAAAAAAAGAAAAGAAAAAAAAGUUUCCAUCUCCCUUCCUCAGUUCCAUAUGUGUGUGAGUUUAUGAUGGAUGAUGCUUUCUUCUCCUCUGUUAUUGCUGGCCCUAACCGUAUAUGUUCGGAUAUAAAGGAAAAGCUUGAUUUAAGUCGAAACUCGUGUGUAACAAAAGAUGUUGAUGAUAUCAUUUGAGUUUUAGUUGAAUUUGAUUUGAUUGUUAAAGCUAAUAAUUUUUGGAAAGUGAAA